UACAGAGGUCCCGAGCGUUGUUCGGAUUCAUUGGGCGUAAAGGGUGCGUAGGUGGCGCUGUAAGUGGGGUGUGAAAUCCCGGGGCUUAACUCCGGAACUGCAUUCCAUACUGCGGUGCUUGAGGACUGGAGAGGAGACUGGAAUUUACGGUGUAGCAGUGAAAUGCGUAGAUAUCGUAAGGAAGACCAGUGGCGAAGGCGGGUCUCUGGACAGUUCCUGACACUGAGGCACGAAGGCCAGGGGAGCAAACGGG
rnacentral:rRNA from 1 species